rnacentral:rRNA from 1 species
GACGGAGGAUGCAAGCGUUAUCCGGAAUGAUUGGGCGUAAAGCGUCCGCAGGUGGCAGUUCAAGUCUGCUGUCAAAGACCGGGGCUUAACUUCGGAAAGGCAGUGGAAACGUGAACAGCUAGAGUAUGGUAGGGGCAGGCGGAAUUCCGGGUGUAGCGGGUGGGAAUGCGGUAGAGAUCCGGAGGAAGACCGGUGGCGAAGGCG